rnacentral:rRNA from 1 species
CACGUAGGGCGCAAGCGUUGUCCGGAAUUAUUGGGCGUAAAGAGCUCGUAGGCGGUCUGUUGCGUCCGCUGUGAAAACUCGGGCUUAACCCCGAGCCUGCAGUGAUACGGGCAGACUAGAGGUAGGUAGGGAGAAUGGAAUUCCGGUGUAGCGGUGAAAUGCGCAGAUAUCGGAGGAACACCGGUGGCGAAGGCGGUCUCUGGGCCUU